GCUAAAUCCUAAAAACGAGCUAGGGAAACAAAAAGGGAAGAUAGAAAAACUUUGCUUGUGGACUAUACGUGGAUCUGCUACUUCUACAAGCUGACCUGUGGCUUUCUGCUGAUCCUGUGGAGAAAGAAGGCCACCACCUCCCAAAGAGACUGCUGCUGCCUCCCCCAUUCCUCCCACUGCUCCCUGGGGCUGAGUGGGGCAUGAGGAUGAAGCAGCGCCUCAGGCUCUCUGCGUGGACCAGUCUCUUCUCCUUUGUGCCUGCUCCUCGCAGCUACCCUGCCUGCUCUCUCCAGAGGUAACCUCAGAGGUUAGCAUCUUAAAGAGGGAGGGCAAUCCAACAGGAGCUGUAGCUUCCACUGACUUGGAAAACGUGGUUUUACUGCAGUACUGCUGGAGCCAAACAUUUGAAGAAGUAUUACUUCUGAUGUGGAAAUCCCAUGAGAUUCUAGAAAUUCCAGAAAGUAGGUUUCAAGUUCUUUCACUGCCAGAAGUAUCAAGUUCAGACUUUAAGGAAGCUUGGCUCAAACUUUCUUGCUGGUUAAAACAGAAAAAUACAGAACACGCUGAUGAGGGUAUCCUGGAAAGCCACUAGAAUACUCUUAAUGAGUAAGGAAUCAGCAAGUAUAUAAACAGGCAUCUAUUCUGUACAACUUCUGCUUCUCAGUGCAGAAUCUCUUGUUUCAAUGUGUCGUGG
rnacentral:lncRNA from 1 species